rnacentral:rRNA from 1 species
CGUCUAGGCGGACCGGCAAGUCGGGUAUGAAAGCCCUCGGCUCAACCGAGGAAUUGUGCCCGAAACUGUCGGCCUUGAGUGCAGAAGGGGAGAGUGGAACUCCUGGUGUAGCGGUGAAAUGCGUUGAUAUCAGGAUGAACGCCGGUGGCGAAAGCGGCUCUCUGGUCUGCUACUGACGCUGAAGCGCGAAAGCUAGGGGAGCGAACG